AAUAUCAUAACUGAUAUUUCAUAGGAGAGACAUGGUUUUAUAUUUUAGAUUCUGAGUGUAACGUAGAAUGUAUUGGUUUUACUUAGAUGUUUAUUUUUUUCUUUUUCUUUUAUAUAUACUCUGUACGAAAGUUCUAUCAGAAGUUUUACUCAGAUAUGUACGCGCGGCACCAUUUCUGAAAGAGAAUAUUGUCCAGAUGGUACUUUUAGGAGAUCAUUUUUUAAUUUUCCAAGUGGUUUUGAUAAUAUCUGGGAAAAACCAAAAUACAGCGCAAGAAAAACGGGAAAUUUACGAAAUUAUGCUUUUAUUAUUUUUCAAUUU